GACGUAGGGCGCAAGCGUUGUCCGGAUUUAUUGGGCGUAAAGAGCUCGUAGGCGGCCUGUCGCGUCAAUCGUGAAAUCCUGCGGCUUAACUGUGGGGUUGCGGUUGAUACGGGCGGGCUGGAGUGCGGUAGGGGAGACUGGAAUUCCUGGUGUAGCGGUGAAAUGCGCAGAUAUCAGGAGGAACACCGGUGGCGAAGGCGGGUCUCUGGGCCGUUACUGACGCUGAGGAGCGAAAGCGUGGGGAGCGAACAGGAUUAGAAACCCCAGUAGUCC
rnacentral:rRNA from 1 species